AGAGUUUGAUCAUGGCUCAGGAUGAACGCUGGCGGCGUGCCUAAUACAUGCAAGUCGAACGAAGGUAGCAAUACCUUAGUGGCGAACGGGUGAGUAACACGUAGGUAACCUGCCUUUCAGUUUGGGAUAACCGAGGGAAACUUUGGCUAAUACCGAAUACGCGCUUCGAAGGCAUCUUCGAAGCAUAAAAGGGGCCUUUAAAGCCUCGCUGAUUGAUGGACCUGCGGCGCAUUAGUUAGUUGGUGAGAUAACAGCCCACCAAGACGAGGAUGCGUAGCCGACCUGAGAGGGUGAACGGCCACACUGGAACUGAGACACGGUCCAGACUCCUACGGGAGGCAGCAGUAGGGAGUUUUCGGCAAUGGGGGAAACCCUGACCGAGCAACGCCGCGUGAGUGAUGAAGGUCUUCGGAUCGUAAAGCUCUGUUAUAGAGGAAGAACGGCAACUAGAGGAAAUGCUAGUUGUUUGACGGUACUUUAUGAGAAAGCCACGGCUAACUACGUGCCAGCAGCCGCGGUAAUACGUAGGUGGCAAGCGUUAUCCGGAAUUAUUGGGCGUAAAGAGUGAGCAGGCGGCAGUUUAAGUUUGGAGUCAAAGCGAGGGGCUCAACCCCUUAACGCUCUGAAAACUGAACAGCUAGAGUGCGAGAGAGGUAAGUGGAAUUCCAUGUGUAGCGGUGAAAUGCGUAGAUAUAUGGAGGAACACCAGUGGCGAAGGCGACUUACUAGCUCGAUACUGACGCUCAGUCACGAAAGCGUGGGUAGCAAAUAGGAUUAGAUACCCUAGUAGUCCACGCUGUAAACGAUGAGAACUAAGUAUUGCCGUGAGGCAGUGCUGAAGCUAACGCAUUAAGUUCUCCGCCUGGGGAGUACGGUCGCAAGACUGAAACUUAAAUGAAUUGACGG
rnacentral:rRNA from 1 species